GAUGGGCUCCGAAGCUAACGCGAUAAAUCGACCGCUGGGGAGUACGGCCGCAAGGUUAAAACUCAAAUGAAUUGACGGGGCCCGCACAAGCGGUGGAGCAUGUGGUUUAUUCGAUGCAACGCGAAGAACCUUACCUGGUCUUGACAUCCAUAGAAUUCUGCAGAGAUGUGGGAGUGCCUUCGGGAACUAUGAGACAGGUGCUGCAUGGCUGUCGUCAGCUCGUGUUGUGAAAUGUUGGGUUAAGUCCCGCAACGAGCGCAACCCUUAUUCUUUGUUGCCAGCGAUUUGGUCGGGAACUCAAAGGAGACUGCCGUUGAUAAAGCGGAGGAAGGUGGGGACGACGUCAAGUCAUCAUGGCCCUUACGACCAGGGCUACACACGUGCUACAAUGGCGUAUACAAAGGGAAGCGAAGGUGCGAGCUGGAGCGGAUCUCAUAAAGUACGUCUAAGUUCGGAUUGGAGUCUGCAACUCGACUCCAUGAAGUCGGAAUCGCUAGUAAUCGUAGAUCAGAAUGCUACGGUGAAUACGUUCCCGGGCCUUGUACGCACCGCCCGUCACACCAUGGGAGUGGGUUGCACCAGAAGUAGAUAGCUUAACCGCGAGGGGGGCGUUUACCACGGUGUGAUUCAUGACUGGGGUGAAGUCGUAACAAGGUAACCA
rnacentral:rRNA from 1 species